CUCCCUUCCCCUCCCCUUCUGUUUGGGUACAGGGAGGAAACCCUUGAUCUCAGAGCAGAGUCUUGCCAGCCAUGAUUCAUAACUGGGCUAAGGAGAGAUUUGUCUUCACGGACGAAGACUGAGUCCCUGACAUUCUGGCGCCUCCCCUUCUUACUUGAUGCUGUGACUGUGAGGACAAGAUGUCUGGGGUCUCGGGAGCUUUACUGAGACCACGAGACAACAAGCAGGAUCAUAAAUCAACAUGUUGAAUGCCAACUGAUGGAAAGAGCCUGGGUCCUCAGGGAUGUAGCUGAAGUGUAUGCCACGUUCAGGGUGAGUCUCAAGGGAUCCGAGAGCUGCUACCCCUGAACUGAGGAAGCCGGAGCCGGAACGCUGUCCCACUGCUGGGUGGUGCGGCUCUUCCAGCCUCACCUCUACGUCUCUCUGAGAAUUGCAUCAGUCCUCAGCCCUCUCUCUGCUUCCACUGACUCAGCUCUCCCACGGCAGAGCCCGCUCUGCCGUUCCUGUGUCCUCCUCAGCUAGGUCUACAACAUCUGCAGGAGCCUCAUUCCAGAGCCGAGGAAAGAGAACAUGUGGAUCCAGCUUUGAGUCAUCUACGCCCAGACCCAGUGAACAGGGCCAUGGGAGCAAAGGCACUUCAUGGCGACAACCUUUCUCUCUAGAAAGUUCACCGAAGCAGAUUGGGAUCAGCCUUAAGAGCGGUUCCUGCAGGCACCCGAACACUACACUGGAGGACAGGGUGGCAGCUUCCUUCAGAGGCCCUUUGAAGGGCGUCCUGCCAGGAGAGAAGAGAAGAGCAUCACCUCCAGCACCAUCCUGCGUU